GAAACAAAUUCUCAAAUUUUAUUAACUGUCAACGAUAAUAUCAUAAUAAGCUCUCUCAAAAUAAGGAGGAUGUAGGUAUUUAUAGUAAGUCAACUAGUUCUAUUACUAUUAGGAUUAGGAGUCCUAACAACAACAACAACAUUAACAAUUAAGCGUUAAUCCCAAAUUAGUUGGAGUCGGCUAUUUGGAUCCUUUUCUACCUUCGGCUAUAUGGAUUUUUUUUCACCUUUUAGCUAGGAUUAGGAAUUCUAAAAUAAGAAAAUAUAAAUCAAUACUAAUUAGGAAUACUAAACCAAUACUUAGUAGGAAUACUAAAUAAACUCAAAAUUUCUAAAUAAAAUAAAAUACCUCUUAAUUAAAUUAAUAUAAAAUUCCUAAUUUUACAUGAAAAAUUAUAUUAACAUAAUUGCUAAAUCGAGUCCGAUUGGAUUGUAUCAUUCUCCCCUAGUUGGAGAAAACUUGAACUUGAGUGUUGUAAUGCUUAAGAAUCAAGAACUGGAUUUGGAGAAUAAGCAACUCUAUCUUCUUGGAUGGUAGCAACGAGCUUGAAACCAAAAAACUUAAUGCCUUUGCAUCUCUGGAAACAUCAAAACAUAGAAAAUCAGUCACAACUACAACAGAAAGACCCUUCAAUUCAGUAGGAACAAGGAAAUUUAAAAAAAUCUUCAAUUUCCAUUGUCAUUUGCUUGGCUUGAUUUUCUUCAAUUUUCAUUGAAUUAUUCUCUAUGGCUUGAUUGUCUUCAUUCCCUAGGAGAGAUUCCUCAAACUUGUUGUACUCAUUCUUAUCAGUUUCUUUUUCUGGAAUAGGUUCUUCAACAUGUCAAGCUUCAGAUUCUUCAAACUCAGGAUUUUCAAGCUGCUGUUUGCGUUGCUUUUAUAUCUUCAACAGCUCUUGAUAUUGCAUCCAAUUGUGCUUUCAGUUGAAAUAAAUAUUCUUACUUCCAUGCUUUAAGUUCCCUUUCCCCAACUCGUAAAAUUUGUUUGAUAUCUUGAUAUUUAUAAUAUAAGUAAUGAUACAAGUCACAAACAAUAUUUAGCACCUCCAUUUUUAUCUAUCUAACAAUAUAAAUAAACCAAUCGGGCCUUGUAGUCAUCGAUUUCAUCUUGUAGUCUUUCAAUGUCAGUCCAUAACACAAGUCUCACUAAAAACAUAAUUCAAAACUCUUAUUAGUCUUAAAUAUUCAUUUCUGACAAAUAGAUGCCAAAAUCGAAACCAACACGUCAAAAUUAGCAAGAACGUGUCAGCUUAAAAUUUUUUUUGCUAAUGUGGCAGCAAUGGAUAAUGUGGCAAUGACGUGGUGUGUUAUGACAGGCAAUGUGGCAUCUUGCGUGGCAAUGAUGAGGCGAGGCAAGAUCAAGUGCAAAUAAGCACACAACAAUGACGUGAAAUCAGUGGAGAUUAUAGGCAAGUCUGAAUCGAUUCAAUCGAAACUCACUGUGAGGGCCUCAUAAUGGAAUCCCGACAACAUGAAGGAGGUGAUCAACGGCCGGUGAAGCUUGAGGAAGGUCCAAACAUUGAAAUCAAUUCUGUUUUUGGCAGGUCACAAUUUGGGUCAAGAUUUGACUCGAACGGAUCCUAGCUUUUGGGCCACUCUAGGCAGCCAGAAGGCAUUAGAAAGGUUGCCCAGCCACGGGCAAUGGAAUUGCUGCUGGUGGCAUGACUGUCAGGUGAAGGGAAUGUGGUGGUGGGUGUGCAAGGACAGUAGCAGGGUGCAAGAAGGCGAAUUUUUUUUUUCAAACAGUAAACCAAGGAAAAUUUAUCGAAGGAAGCUAAAACACAAGUUGGAUUUUUGAACUUUGACACCAAAUUGAUGUAUAAUCAAUAGAAGAAGAGAAACAAAUUCUCAGAAAGGAAUGAGAAACAAUUUCUCAACUUUUAUUAAUUCUCAAAUUAAUUGUCAAUUUCAAUAAUCUCUACAAAAAUACCUAGAAGACGUAGGUAUUUACAGUAGGAUUGCCUACUAGUACUAGGAUUUCAAAUCCUAAACAAGAAAAUACUAAGCAAAUUCUAAUUAGGAAUUCCAAACCAGCAUAAUUGCCUAAAUAAAUAGAAUACCCAAAAUAGGUAGUCCUAGUAUUUAAAUUGAAUCUAUCCUCUAUGUUAUUAUGACUUAUGGGCUAUUGUGUUACAUGUUCCCUCAUGGCAAGACAUCACGAUGAGGUCCAAUUAAAAGAGUCCUACUUGAGAGAAGCAGUUGAAUGAAUAGACAAAGCACAAAUUUCUACUGGAUUAAGUCUACUCUAGUGGACACUGCAGCACACUUCAUACUGAAUCAUUCUCUUUCAACUUAUGCAACAAUAUUGAUACCCAUACCAACAGUAAAUUUGAGAUGCUAUGAACUCAAGAUUGAAGAAUAGACAGUCUGGUCCUGCAACAAGGAGUUGGACUACUGGAAAAGUUUUCUCCUUUGUCAAAAGUGAUUCAGAACUCUGCCAGAGAAUGAUUAUCACCCUGGAUGGCUAGAAACUGACCACUUAAUUUCCCAGCCCACUGAAUUUUUUUUUCCCCUAUGCACAAAGUGCCCAAAUAU
rnacentral:misc_RNA from 1 species